rnacentral:lncRNA from 1 species
ACAACAAGUCAUUUCUCCAUCGAAAUGUUUAACAUGAGCAGAAUUGUUUGUUUGAUUUAUGCAGUCCUCCUGGUCGGACUACUGCAGAGUCGUUUUGCAAGAAGUGAAAUUUUGAAUAGAGAUGCUGAAGGUGCUGAUGAUGCUUCCUCUCUAGAAAAACGAAGCGACAUUAUGUCUGGUGGUGUAUCUGGAGUUGCAGGUGAUGGAGACACUGGAUAUGUUCUAUCUUCAAAAAGAUAUGCUAUACACAUAGCAAGACAUCACGUGCAUGAUCAAUCCGGCGGACACCACGGAAAGUAACAUGGAACAUGAUGCUUCAGGUAAAGCGAAGUCCCCAGCUUUUUGAAAUAUAAUUGAGUCAUUUGAAAAUCUUUACCAGGUAACGUAUCCAAUGAAACUUAUUGUGGAUUUAUGUUUUAAUUUAAGGUUUAGAUUCAAAGCUGAUAUAAAUAAGUGCACAGAGAUUCUUGAAUUCUCUUUCUAAUAAUUUGGUAUUUGUAUUUUACAUCAUGGCAGACCACUGUGGAAUGUUUCUAUUACUUAGGUUUGUUACAUGAAGAGUUUCGCUCCGCGCUGUGCUGUACAUGACUAUUUUGAAUAACCCAGACCGAUAUACACUGCACACAACACACACAAACACACACACACACAUAAACACACACAUACACACACACACACACUCACACAUACACACACACACACACACACACACACACACUCACACACACACACAUGCACACAUACAUUCACACACACUCACACAAGUACACAAAUAUGCUCUCUGUCUUACACAAACACAAAUACACGCAAAUACACAUACAAAACAGACACAAAUACGCGCACACACAAACACACACACACACAGACACAAAUACAGAGUCUAAAGAAAGUUGAGGCAGUUAUGAGGGGAGAGAGACAGUAAAAAUCUCAUUGCUUUUGUUUUCCUUCUUUUUCAGGAUAUUUUAACAUCAACGGACUGAAACCUGUAGCCAAUAUAUGUUGAAAUAAAAUAUGAAAGCACAUC